GGAUUAGGCAUGCAAGUCGAACGAGAAAGUUUCCUUCGGGAAGCGAGUAAAGUGGCGAACGGGAGAGUAACGCGUGGGAAAUCUGCCCUUCAGCGGGGGACAACAUCUCUAACGAGGUGCUAAUACCGCAUACGACCUAGGCUCCACAUGGCGCCCUGGUGAAAGAUGGCCCCUUCUUGAAAGCUGUCACUGAAGGAUGAUCCCGCGUCCCAUUAGCUUGUUGGUGGGGUAAUGGCCUACCAAGGCGACGAUGGGUAGCCGGCCUGAGAGGGUGUCCGGCCUCACUGGGACUGAGAUACGGCCCAGACUCCUACGGGAGGCAGCAGUCGAGAAGCUUCGGCAAUGGACGAAAGUCUGACCGAGCGACGCCGCGUGAGCGAUGAAGGUCCUAGUGAUCGUAAAGCUCUGUCAGGAGGGAAUAAAUGCCUGCGGUCAAUACCCGCAGGAGUUGAAGGUACCUCCAGAGGAAGCGCCGGCUAACUAUGUGCCAGCAGCCGCGGUAAUACAUAGGGCGCAAACGUUGUUCGGAUUUACUGGGUUUAAAGGGUUCGUAGGCGGGCUGAUAAGUCAGAGGUGAAAGCCAACGGCUCAACCGUUGAAUUGCCUCUGAUACUGUUAGUCUUGAGUCCGUUAGGGGAUGGUGGAAUUCCUGGUGUAGCGGUGAAAUGCGUAAAUAUCAGGAGGAACACCGGUGGCGAAGGCGGCCAUCUGGGACGGUACUGACGCUGAGGAACGAAAGCUAGGGUAUCAAACGGAAUUAGAUACCCCGGUAGUCCUAGCCGUAAACGAUGCGCACUAGGUGUUGGAGGAUUCUACCCCUUCAGUGCCGCAGCUAACGCAUUAAGUGCCCCACCUGGGGAGUACGAUCGCAAGGUUGAAACUCAAAGGAAUUGACGGGGGCCCGCACAAGCGGGUGGAGCAUGUGUUUAAUUCGAUGCAACAGCGAAGAACCUUACCUGGACUUGACAGCAGGUGUCAGCCGGGAAACACGGUCUCUCUUCGGAGCACCUGUGCAGGUGCUGCAUGGCUGUCGUCAGCUCGUGUCGUGAAAGUUGGGUUAAGUCCCGCAACGAGCGCAACCCUUGUCCUUAGUUGCCAUCAGGUUAUGCUGGGAACUCUAGGGAGACUGCCGGUGACAAACCGGAGAAGGUGGGGAGACGUCAAGUCAUCAUGGCCCUUACGUCCAGGGCUACACACUGCUACAAUGGCCGGUACAAUGGGCUGCGAAACCGCGAGGUUAAGCGAAUCCCAAAAAGCCGGUCUCAGUUCGGAUUACAGUCUGCAACUCGACUGUAUGAAGCUGGAAUCGCUAGUAAUCGCGCAUCAGAACGGCGCGGUGAAUACGUUCCCGGGCCUUGUACACACCGCCCGUCAAGUCAACCGAGUUGGUUGCACCCCAAGGUCGCUAGCCAACCUCUUCGGAGGAGGCAGGUGCCCAAGGUGUGAUUGCGAGGGGGGGACUAAGUCGUAACAAGGUGCCGUAUCGGAAGGUGCGGCUGAUCACCUCCUUUCUAAGGGGCAAAGUCACCCACCCUUGGUGGCUGACUUAUGUAGAAGAAUCGCGGUAUUCUCGUACGUUAUUCUCUUGUCAAAAGUCGGGAUUUCCCCUUUUGGCGUGAGUUUGUAACUGGGGCCUAUAGCUCAGUUGGUUAGAGCGCACGCCUGAUAAGCGUGGGUCGAUAGUUCAAAUCUAUCUAGGCCCACCACGCUGUUUUCCGGGGGAUAUAGCUCAGUUGGGAGAGCGCCGGCUUUGCAAGCCGGAGUCGACGGUUCGAACCCGUCUAUCUCCACCAGAACCGCUUGCGGUGACGAUCUUUGAUAACCGAAUAUAGGGGGUAGCAGAACAAAAAGGCGCAUUCUUUGAUCAAUUCUUGCCUUUGAUUAAGCUACUAAGAGCACAUGGUGAGCCUAGGCGCUGAAAGCGAUGAAGACGUGAUAAGCUGCGAUAAGCCUCGGAGAGCGGCAAAUACGCUUUGAUCCGGGGAUUUCCGAAUGGGGAAACCCACUGCGGGCAAACCUGCAGUAUCCUGAACUAAUACAUAGGUCCAUGGAGGCGAACGGGGAGAACUAAACAUCUAAUACCCCC
rnacentral:rRNA from 1 species